GGUCUCCCUUGCAGUUAGUUAAAGGCCAGGUGCCUAAUUAUACUUCAUGAACUAGAGCAGAAGGGAUGAGGCAGUAAAGAACCAGUGCCUUGAGAGGUCUCUUUCCCUGUUGAAGAGGACUGGGAGGCCGUGAGUUCAAGCUGGCAGAGCUUCAUGAUGGGGUGCCACCCCAUCCUCAUCAGAGUGCAGUAAGAGUACAAAUUUAUGCUAUAUCACUGACAUUUCCAGGUUAAUUCAUUGCCUCAAGAUGUCUUCACUAGGUGGAAGAAGUUCAGCAGAGUGCUCAGCAAGAGCAGCAAACAACUGGGACCUGAAGAAGAGAUAAUAUCUCAGGAGAGAAAGAGAGACUCAGAUGCGUGAAACAGAGGUGGUGACAGAUGGGCUUCCCGGGUGGUGCUAGUGGUAAAGAAUCCGCCUGCCAAUGCAAGAGACAUAAGAGAUGUGGUUUCGAUCCCUGGGUCAGGAAGAUCCCCUGGAGGAGGGCAUGGCAACCCACUCCAGUAUUCUUGCCUGGAGAAUCCCCAUGGACAGAGGAGCCUGGAGGUCUACAGUCCAUAGGAUUGCAAAGAGCCGAACGCAACUGAAGCGACUAAGCAUGCAUGCACGUAGGGUGACAAACGUCACUUAUUGUGGUGACCAUUUUGCAAUAUAUACAAAUAUUAAAUCAUGUUGUACAUCUGAAACUAAACAAUAUUCUAUGUGAAUUGUACCUCAACAAAAAUGCUGAUAUUAUAUUGAAGGAUUUUUUCAUCUAGCUUUAUAAGAGUUCCACUUUGGCAGUCUCUCAAUAGUCUGGUCUGAUUUUGUAGAAUCUAUCUAUAAAAUGUUUUGGUCCUGGAUUUUGUCUAUAUUUUACAUUUGUCUAUUGCUGCUGGUCGGAGAAGGCAAUGGCACCCCACUCCAGUACUCUUGCCUGGAAAAUCCCACGGACGGAGGAGCCUGGUGGGCUGCAGUCCACGGGGUCUCGAAGAGUCGGACACGACUGAGCGACUUCACUUUCACUUUUCACUUACAUACAUUGAAGGAGGAAAUGGCAACCCACUCCAGUGUUCUUGCCUGGAGAAUCCCAGGGACGGGGAGCCUGGUGGGCUGCCAUCUAUGGGGUGGCACAGAGUCGGACACGACUGAAGCGACUUAGCAGCAUUGCUGCUGGUCUAUUCUGUUUUUAACUUCACUGAAAUUUUAUUUUUUUUAUGGAAAAGCCAUUCGUUCCAAUUUUAAAAGCUACUUUGUAAAAAUGUUCUCUUAUUAAAAAAAAAUCUGUAAUUACAGUUUCCUAUUUUUUUAAUUCUUGAUCUGGUUACAAAAGGGUUGUUUAUUGGUAUUUUCAGAGAGUUGACAUUUGACAUUAAAUAUAUAUUCUAUUGUGCUUUUAAUUGUUUCUUUUGACUCCUCUUAUACUUUCUUUGGGUGUGUUUUUUGUUCUUUUUCUGGUUUGUAUUUACUAGUUCAUUUAUAUUUAAUUUUUACCUUAUUAAAUACUUUUAAGCCUAUAUUUAUUAUUACUAUUGCUUUUGUAUGUGUUUUUAAAUUUCAAAGUAGUUAGUUUUUUUUUUUUUUUGUCUUGGUUUCUUUCCUUUUUCUAUCCCAUAUAAGAAUUUUUUGUUUGCUUUGCUUUAUUUUAUCUACUUAUAUUUCUGAAGUUUGUUAAAGUCUUCCAGAAUUCAGAUACUCUUUUGUUGCUAAACUAGUCACAGAAUAUACCUCCCCAAAUACCUGUGGAUUGCACUUUCCAUAACAUCUGGAACCAGUUCAGGGUUUCAGAGGGAGAGAGAUAGGAAGACAAUACCUGAAAGUCCUUAAUGCAAUGGCU
ensembl:lncRNA